rnacentral:tRNA from 1 species
AAUCUUAUAGUUUAAUAAAAAAUUUUAAAUUGCAAAUUUAAGGAUAAAUUAGUUUUAAGAUUU